GAUAAACGCUAGCGGCAGGCUUAACACAUGCAAGUCGAGGGGCAGCAUAGAUUGUAGCAAUACAAUUGGUGGCGACCGGCGCACGGGUGCGUAACGCGUAUGCAACCUACCCGUCACAGGGGGAUAAUCCGGAGAAAUCUGGUCUAAUACCCCAUAACAUAUGGAUCGGCAUCGGUUCAUGUUGAAAUUUUCGGAGGUGACGGAUGGGCAUGCGUAGCAUUAGCUUGUUGGUGAGGUAACGGCUCACCAAGGCGACGAUGCUUAGGGGGACUGAGAGGUUUUCCCCCCACACUGGGACUGAGACACGGACCAGCCUCCUACGGGAGGCAGCAGUGAGGAAUAUUGGUCAAUGGGCGCAAGCCUGAACCAGCCAUGCCGCGUGCAGGAUGACGGCUCUAUGAGUUGUAAACUGCUUUUGUACGAGGGUAAAGUGGGUUACGUGUAACCUUUUGAAAGUAUCGUACGAAUAAGGAUCGGCUAACUCCGUGCCAGCCGCCGCAGUAA
rnacentral:rRNA from 1 species